rnacentral:rRNA from 1 species
UUCCGGUUGAUCCCGCCGNACCCGACUGCUGUCAGAGUGGGAUUAAGCCAUGCGAGUCAACGUAGCAAUACGUGGCAUACGGCUCAGUAACACGUAGUCAACAUGCCCAGGGGACGUGGAUAACCUCGGGAAACUGAGGCUAAACCGCGAUAGGUCAAGAUUCCUGGAAUGGAUCAUGGCCCAAAUCUAUAUGGCCCCUGGAUUGGACUGCGGCCGAUCAGGCUGUUGGUGGGGUAAUGGCCCACCAAACCUGUAACCGGUACGGGCUCUGANAGGAGGAGCCCGGANAUGGGCACUUAGACAAGGGCCCAGGCCCUAUGGGGCGCAGCAGGCGCGAAACCUCUGCAAUAAGCGAAAGCUUGACAGGGUUACUCUGAGUGAUUUCCGCUAA